rnacentral:rRNA from 1 species
ACGAACGCUGGCGGCGUGCUUAACACAUGCAAGUCGAACGGAAAGGCCCUGCUUUUGUGGGGUGCUCGAGUGGCGAACGGGUGAGUAAUACGUGAGUAACCUGCCCUUGACUUUGGGAUAACUUCAGGAAACUGGGGCUAAUACCGGAUAGGAGCUCUUGCUGCAUGGUGGGGGUUGGAAAGUUUCGGCGGUUGGGGAUGGACUCGCGGCUUAUCAGCUUGUUGGUGGGGUAGUGGCUUACCAAGGCUUUGACGGGUAGCCGGCCUGAGAGGGUGACCGGCCACAUUGGGACUGAGAUACGGCCCAGACUCCUACGGGAGGCAGCAGUGGGGAAUAUUGCACAAUGGGCGGAAGCCUGAUGCAGCAACGCCGCGUGCGGGAUGACGGCCUUCGGGUUGUAAACCGCCUUCGCCUGUGACGAAGCGUGAGUGACGGUAAUGGGUAAAGAAGCACCGGCUAACUACGUG